GCAGAACGCGAAGAACCUUACCAGGGUUUGACAUCCUACGACCGCUCCUUAAUAGGAGUUUUCCCGCAAGGGACGUAGAGACAGGUGCUGCAUGGCUGUCGUCAGCUCGGGUCGUGAGAUGUUGGGUUAAGUCCCGCAACGAGCGCAACCCUCGCCUUUAGUUGCCAUCAUUCAGUUGGGCACUCUAGAGGGACCGCCGGCGACAAGCCGGAGGAAGGUGGGGAUGACGUCAAGUCCUCAUGGCCCUUACACCCUGGGCUACACACGUGCUACAAUGGCGGUGACAGUGGGCAGCUACUCAGCGAUGAGCGGCUAAUCCCAAAAAACCGCCCCAGUUCAGAUUGCACUCUGCAACUCGAGUGCAUGAAGGUGGAAUCGCUAGUAAUCGCAGAACAGCAGGCUGCGGUGAAUACGUUCCCGGGUCUUGUACACACCG
rnacentral:rRNA from 1 species